rnacentral:tRNA from 1 species
CACUAGAAAGCUAAAACAACAACAGCAUCAGCCUUUUAAACUGAUAUUUGGUGAACCACUCCACCUCUAGUGC